rnacentral:lncRNA from 1 species
AAAGUACAAUGAUAUCUGUAAGAAAUGAUGGCUCUAUCUCAGAAUGAAGAGGAGACAGAGGAGGCUAAUAUGGAUGAAACGGUUACAAAGAGAAGUUCUGGGUAAAGAAGAGGUUGUCUACUUAGAAGAAAACUACUAAUAAAUGGGGUUUGAAUCUACAUAAAAAUUAAAAGGCAUUCAUCCAGAUGAGAAGUUAAAGAGAAUUCUAAGUAUGAAGAAUGGAGAAACAUGAGAGGACUGAACAAAGCAAGAGUAAGAGAAGGCAAUUAUCAAUUUAAUCUGGGAGAAG